UAAACUAGAGGUGGGAAAGAUGUUGGAAAAUUUCUCAUAUAUAAUAAAUGUAGUGAACUUUAUUUGUUAACAUUGACAAUCAAAUCAAAUGAAACUUUUUAUUUGACAAAACACUUAUAAUAUAUAGGACAUUGCGUAAUCCUAGUGUAAAACAUAAGCAACUUGACAAAUAAUUAAAAAAAAAACAAUACCCAACAAUUUAAAUCAAUAAAUGAUAUGCAAUAAUCACAAGUCUAAUUUAUUUUUUAAUGGAUAAAUAACUUGAAAAAAUAAUCUUUUUGCAAAAAAAAAAGGAAAAAUAGUUUGUGUGUGCAUUACUUCUGCAAAAGAGACAUUUUCAAUUCAAGUCUUUAGAUUACUUUUAGUGUACUCGUGUGAACAAUUAAAAGCCGGUGUAGAGAUGAGAACAAAUUUAUAUACUUUAGGUCCUUUUUGGUUUGAUCUGCUAUUCAGCAUUUGCAUUAGAUUUUAGGUAAUCAAAUAUUUUUUUUUUUUUAAAUAAAUCUUUUAUUGCACAUUUCUCUGCUAUUUUUAAAACUUACACUACUCACAGCAUUCAGUCGGGUAUCCCUGUAAAUUAGUUACUGUUUAACCAGGUAGAUUAUACAGUAAAAUUUAUAUCUAUUAAAUAUGGUUAGUUAUACAAUGAAUACGUUGAUUUUAACAAUUUGUUUUUGAAGUCUUUAUUAUAUUAAGUAAUUACGGAAGUUGUACUAUCUAUUGUCCGAUAUUGUUUAUAGUUUAAUCGUUGACCUUAACCUUGAUCAAAAUAUUUCACGUGAAAGUUGAGAUGAUCGGAUGAUUAAAGAAUACCACGGCACGUGUAUUGAUGAUGAGAGCAGAAGGAUCUUAUCUAAGUAUUUCUAAUGAUGAUCUUUGUUUGCAGUAAAUAAGAGUUGUGGUUCUUACCUCUGAUUUAAACAUAUCCCACAGUGUUUUUAAAUUUUUGGUCUGAUAUUUUGACAGUAGGCUGUAAUUGUUGGACUAUAUACAUGGUGAAAAGUGUAGGAAUUUACAGUAAAUAUAGAAACAAUCGAAAUGUUUAUAGUUCGCAGAAACGGUACUUGUAUAUUUCUAUGGAGGAACAUUUUGGCAAAUAAUGUGUGGCUUGCAGAGGAUAGAGGGAUGGUUUUUACCAUAUGGAUUAAAUAGGACUUUUGAAGUAUUCCUAAUAUGUGGAUUAAAUAAGAUAUCCAAAUGCCUUUUACGUGAAAUGAAAAAGGGCAGUGUAAUAAUUCUAAUAUAUGUGGAUUGAGACUGAUGGAUAAUUUGUUAUAAAGCAAGCAUAUAUUCAGAAAAAUUGAUUUUGGAUAUAUGUGGAUUAAUGAAUUGGUAUUCAUCAAGGAUAUUUUCUUUUUAUCUUUAUUUCUACUUCGAGCGGCCAGUGUGUUUUUUUUUAAACAGUUCAACUUCAAGUAUAUGUAUAAUUAUUAUGUUUAUUGUAUUAUGAUUCUUAAUAUGAGUAAUAUGCAUCAUAAUAAAUUUUAUUACCAAUA